rnacentral:rRNA from 1 species
UAAUAAUUUAAAGUCUAAUCUGCCCACUGAUAAUUAUUAAAGGGCUGCAGUAUUUUGACUGUACAAAGGUAGCAUAAUCAAUAGUCUUUUAAUUGAAGACUAGUAUGAAAGAUUGAAUGAAAUAUAAACUGUCUUUUUAAUAAAAUUAAAAAUUAAUUUUUUAGUCAAAAAGCUAAAAUGAAUUUAAAAGACGAGAAGACCCUAUAGAGUUUUAUAAUUAAAUUUAUUUUUUUAAAAUAUAAAUAAUUUAAAAAAAAAUAUAUUUAAUUAUUUUGUUGGGGUGAUAAAAAAAUUAAAUAAACUUUUUUUAAAAUUUAACAAAAAUAAUUGAAUAAGUGAUCCAUUAAUUAUGAUUAAAAGAAUAAAUUACCUUAGGGAUAACAGCGUAAUAUUUUUUUUUAGUACAAAUAAAAAAAAAAGUUUGCGACCUCGAUGUUGGAUUAAGAUAAAAAUUAAAUGCAAAAGUUUAAAAUUUUGAUCUGUUCGAUCAUUAAAAUCUUACAUG